rnacentral:rRNA from 1 species
UGGUCAAGCUACAAAGGGCUCACGGUGGAUACCUUGGCACACAGAGGCGAUGA